CCUACGGGUGGCAGCAGUGAGGAAUAUUGGUCAAUGGACGAGAGUCUGAUCCAGCCACGCAGCGUGAAGGAUGACUGCUCUAUGGGUUGUAAGCUUCUUUUAUAUGGGAAUAAAAUGUUCCACGUGUGGGAUUUUGUAUGUACCAUAUGAAUAAGGAUCGGCUAACUCCGUGCCAGCAGCCGCGGUAAUACGGAGGAUCCGAGCGUUAUCCGGAUUUGUUGGGUUUAACGGGAGCGUAGGUGGAUUGUUAAGUCAGUUGUGAAAGUUUGCGGCUCAACCGUAAAAUUGCAGUUGAAACUGGGAGUCUUGAGUACAGUAGAGGUCAGCGGAAUUCGUGGUGUAGCGGUGAAAUGCUUAGAUAUCACGAAGAACUCCGGUUGCGAAGGCAGCUCACUGGACUGCAACUGACGCUGAGGCUCGAAAGUGUGGGUAGCAAACAGGAUUAGAUACCCGAGUAGUC
rnacentral:rRNA from 1 species